rnacentral:rRNA from 1 species
GACGAACGCUGGCGGCGUGCUUAACACAUGCAAGUCGAACGGAAAGGCCCUGCUUUUGUGGGGUGCUCGAGUGGCGAACGGGUGAGUAACACGUGAGUAACCUGCCCUUGACUUUGGGAUAACUUCAGGAAACUGGGGCUAAUACCGGAUAGGAGCUCCUGCUGCAUGGUGGGGGUUGGAAAGUUUCGGCGGUUGGGGAUGGACUCGCGGCUUAUCAGCUUGUUGGUGGGGUAGUGGCUUACCAAGGCUUUGACGGGUAGCCGGCCUGAGAGGGUGACCGGCCACAUUGGGACUGAGAUACGGCCCAGACUCCUACGGGAGGCAGCAGUGGGGAAUAUUGCACAAUGGGCGGAAGCCUGAUGCAGCAACGCCGCGUGCGGGAUGACGGCCUUCGGGUUGUAAACCGCUUUCGCCUGUGACGAAGCGUGAGUGACGGUAAUGGGUAAAGAAGCACCGGCUAACUACGUGCCAGCAGCCGCGGUGAUACGUAGGGUGCGAGCGUUGUCCGGAUUUAUUGGGCGUAAAGGGCUCGUAGGUGGUUGAUCGCGUCGGAAGUGUAAUCUUGGGGCUUAACCCUGAGCGUGCUUUCGAUACGGGUUGACUUGAGGAAGGUAGGGGAGAAUGGAAUUCCUGGUGGAGCGGUGGAAUGCGCAGAUAUCAGGAGGAACACCAGUGGCGAAGGCGGUUCUCUGGGCCUUUCCUGACGCUGAGGAGCGAGAGCGUGGGGAGCGAACAGGCUUAGAUACCCUGGUAGUCCACGCUGUAAACGGUGGGUACUAGGUGUGGGGUCCAUUCCACGGGUUCCGUGCCGUAGCUAACGCUUUAAGUACCCCGCCUGGGGAGUACGGCCGCAAGGCUAAAACUCAAAGGAAUUGACGGGGCCCCGCACAAGCGGCGGAGCAUGCGGAUUAAUUCGAUGCAACGCGUAGAACCUUACCUGGGUUUGACAUGGAUCGGGAGCGCUCAGAGAUGGGUGUGCCUCUUUUGGGGUCGGUUCACAGGUGGUGCAUGGCUGUCGUCAGCUCGUGUCGUGAGAUGUUGGGUUAAGUCCCGCAACGAGCGCAACCCUUGUUCACUGUUGCCAGCACGUUAUGGUGGGGACUCAGUGGAGACCGCCGGGGUCAACUCGGAGGAAGGUGGGGAUGACGUCAAGUCAUCAUGCCCCUUAUGUCCAGGGCUUCACGCAUGCUACAAUGGCUGGUACAGAGAGUGGCGAGCCUGUGAGGGUGAGCGAAUCUCGGAAAGCCGGUCUCAGUUCGGAUUGGGGUCUGCAACUCGACCUCAUGAAGUCGGAGUCGCUAGUAAUCGCAGAUCAGCAACGCUGCGGUGAAUACGUUCCCGGGGCU